rfam:Stegodyphus mimosarum contig103350, whole genome shotgun sequence.
UGCUUCGUGGUGUAGUGGUCAGCACGCUCGGCGCGUAUUUCGAGAGAUCCGUGGUUCGAGUCCCGGCGAGGCAU